CUAAAAUAUUGUAAAGUAAUUAGCCUCCAACUAAUAAAAAUAAAUGGAAAAAAAAAAAAGAAUGGUUCUGGGACACAAAAAGCACAUAGUUCAAAUAAUGCGUUUAUUCACUUAACAUGUAUUUCUUCUAGGCACUGGGAUACAUAAGGGAACAAAUCUGAACAAGGAUCACUCCCUUUUUGCUGCUCCAGUUCUCACUGGUGGAGAUAUACAAUAAGCAGAUUACUCUGGACCAAAGGCAGAUGUGGAGACACCUGUUGGUGGCUUGCUCAGGAACCUAGGCAGAGAGGGAGACUUGGACCACAGUCGUGGCACCAGAGAGGAUCAGAAGCUGUCUCUUCCUGGAUGUGUUCUGCAGCUUCGAAGAGGGGGGAGAAGACCCUUAACAUGUGAAGAUGUUGGGGGAAAAAAAAGAGAUGAACCUAUGUUCCAGCCUAUGUUCUCAAGAUAAAUAACCCCUCCAGUGACGAUCUUACAGGACCAGCAAUGAUUACCAGGUUACUAGAUCAUCUAAUCUCAAUAAUGGAAAACCACAGGGUAAGAAUCUGAAGUCACUCACUGAGCCAGACUGAGACAGACAUAGGAAAGUCUGGACUUUGAAACCAUUUUGACUAGUGUUGUCCAUAGUUAAAGACAGAAGCUAAUGUUGUAAUUUCCUUUCUUAUCUCCACCACCGUUACUGUCUGGUGGUGGCCAAAUCAACACUAUUACAGAAGACAAAGUGAUUCAUGCUGUGUGUGUCUGUCACAUCCCGAGGUGAAAAUACUGGAGUUAACCUUACAUUCACUGUCCUGGAAAUAUUUAGCAUGCUACUUCAGUACAUUCCCAAGUAUUACAUCAUCCCUUGAGUUGACAACAGGCUUGUAAGCAAGAACAGUGGAAGACAUGCAAGUAGUCUUCAUUCCCUUUUUUUUUUUUGCCUAGGAAAGUUCAUCCAUUCCCCUUCUUUAUCCACUACCUAUAUACUGAUGACACCGAGGUCAACACAGACCUCUCCUCUAAAGUCCAAACACAGAAUUCCAACUAUGUAGUUACACAUCUUCACCUGAAUUUCUCUUAGCUUAAAUUAGAUAAGACUAAAUUUGAACCUGUAUUACCUUUUCCUAGAACUUGCUCUUUUCCUCUAACCCCUUUCUCAUCUACCUCUUCAUCCAAACUGGAAAACCAGAUGUCAUCUUUGACUUUUUCUUUUAUUCCAGUUCUAAACCUGAUCAACUUCAUUGCUCUAUCCUGUUAUUGCCAGGUUCUUAUCACUUGCUUGGACUAUUCCCAUAGCCUUCUAACUGGUCUGUCUCCGCCAGUCUUGGCCCCCUCCAAUCCAUCCUCUACAUUGCUGCAGGAGAACUUUCUCAAAUUCAAAUCUGAUGUGUCUCUUCUUAAAACACUUCACAGCUUCCCAUGUUCCCAUGUUGCUGACUGCAACAUGACACAUUAGAUGCCUCAGCAGACAGUUUACCUACCUCCCCACAUCUCUUCCCUGCUGCCUCCUACUGCCUUUGCACCUUACACUCCCCAGCAGGAAACUGCACUUCUAGAGAGACUCCUAGUAAGCGUCCUGCAUCCAUGUCUCUGCAUGUGCUAUGUCCUAAAAUUACCCAUAACCCAGUCUCCAUUCAAGCCUCUUAUAGGUCAUCUUCCCCAGUUAGACACAUUUAAUUACUUCCUUUCCUAUAUUACUAUGCAUGCAUGCAAGAUAGAAAAGGAACACAUCAAUCCCCUUACAUGUUACUGCAAAUACUUAUUUACAAUUCUGCCUCCCCAGGACUACCACUCAUUUAAAGGCACAGGCCAUUUUGCAUUCAGUUUUAUAAUCCUAAUGCCCAGCACAGUAUCUAGUACACUCAAAAGACACUGGCUAUUCUUGAAGAUCAUUCUAAAAAUUAUUCAGUUACAAAAAGGGAGAGAGAAGGCACCACUACACCUAGACUUUUAUUUAUCCUGCAAAAAUCACAAACAUAAUAUCACAAUAAAUAUAUCUUAAUCACAUGAUCAGUGAAUAGUCUUUUUCUCUGUAUGUUUCAGUCCCUUCAGAAAUCCAAAGAUCAUGUACAAAUGACCAAGAGGCACAUGAAAAGAUACUCAACAUCACUAAUUACUAGAGCAAUGAGGUAUCACCUCAUAUC